CCGGCGGCUGGUCCAACCAUCCCUGGAUCGCUGAUGGCAGGAACCCAGAUUGGAAGUGGAGAGCCCACAAACGGAGGGACAUCCGUGUGUGCGUCCGAAGGCAUUUCCAAAUCCGGACCCCUAUUGCUGUAAAGUGUGGCGCCCAAUGCCAGCCUUGAGAGCACACUCUCGCCUCCAGAAAUAGUGUGAGCCGUGGGCGCAAUGCAGUGACGGGGAGACCGAAAAGUUGGAGCGAGAUGGCCCUGACCCAGGCUCCCAUCCACCACAGCAGACGACGAUGAAUCCCCCUGCAUCGAUUGAUCGAUCGAUCGUUCUAUCGAUGAUGAUGACUCGCAUGCGAGAGUUCAACC
rnacentral:lncRNA from 1 species